rnacentral:rRNA from 1 species
UACGGGGGGAACGCGAAGAACCUUACCAGGUCUUGACAUCUUUUGAUCACCUGAGAGAUCAGGUUUCCCCUUCGGGGGCAAAAUGACAGGUGGUGCAUGGUUGUCGUCAGCUCGUGUCGUGAGAUGUUGGGUUAAGUCCCGCAACGAGCGCAACCCUUAUGACUAGUUGCCAGCAUUUAGUUGGGCACUCUAGUAAGACUGCCGGUGACAAACCGGAGGAAGGUGGGGAUGACGUCAAAUCAUCAUGCCCCUUAUGACCUGGGCUACACACGUGCUACAAUGGAUGGUACAACGAGUUGCGAGACCGCGAGGUCAAGCUAAUCUCUUAAAGCCAUUCUCAGUUCGGACUGUAGGCUGCAACUCGCCUACACGAAGUCGGAAUCGCUGUAUCGCCCU